rnacentral:rRNA from 1 species
UACAGAGGGGGCAAGCGUUAUUCGGAAUUAUUGGGCGUAAAGGGCGCGUAGGCGGCUUGGCAAGUGGAAGGUGAAAUCCCUCGGCUUAACCGAGGAACUGCCCUCCAAACUGCUUUGCUUGAGGCCGGGAGAGGCGAGUGGAAUUCCCAGUGUAGCGGUGAAAUGCGUAGAUAUGACAUAGAACACCAAUUGCGAAGGCAGCUGGCUACACAAAUAUUGACACUGAGGCACGAAAGCGUGGGGAUCAAACAGG